rnacentral:rRNA from 1 species
AAGCACGUAGGUGGGUUUGUAAGUCAGAUGCGAAAGCCUUCUGUUCAACGAAAGAAUUGCAUCUGAAACUGCGAGUCUUGAGUAUAGGAGGGGAGAAUGGAACUUCUGGUGGAGCGGUGAAAUGCGUAGAUAUCAGAAGGAACGCCGGCGGCGAAAGCGAUUCUCUGGCCUAUUACUGACACUCAGUGUGCGAAAGCUAGGGGAGCAAACGGGAUUAGAUACCCCGGUAGUCCUAGCCGUAAGCGAUGGGCACUAAGUAGAGGGGUUUU